rnacentral:misc_RNA from 1 species
UACGCGUACGAAACAUACAUAGUCAUGUGACAAACAAAAUGGCAGAUGUCUACAGAAGAGUCGGAUGAAAGAUUUAGUGAAAAUAUUUCAAAGUAUUUUUAAAGCAAUUUUGGUUUAUAGAAAAGUCACGCAUAAUCAUGAAGAAAAAGGUGUUAUUGAUGGGUAAGAGUGGAUCAGGGAAGACAAGUAUGAGGUCCAUUAUAUUUGCAAAUUAUAUUGCCAGAGAUACUAGAAGACUAGGAGCCACAAUUGAUGUUGAGCAUUCUCAUGUACGUUUCCUGGGAAACCUUGUACUUAAUUUAUGGGACUGUGGAGGUCAAGAGGCUUUCAUGGAGAAUUAUUUUGCUAGUCAACGAGACAACAUCUUCCGGAAUGUUGAAGUGCUGAUCUAUGUGUUUGAUGUAGAGAGUCGGGAAUUAGAGAAAGAUAUGCAUUAUUACCAGUCAUGUUUAGAGGCUAUUUUGCAGAACUCACCUGAAGCCAAGGUCUUCUGUCUCAUACAUAAAAUGGACCUUGUUCAAGAUGAUCAGAGGGAAUUGAUUAUUCGAGAGAGAGAGGAUGACCUAAAACGCCUUUCAAAACCUUUAGAGUGUACAUGUUUUGCAACGUCAAUAUGGGAUGAGACAUUAUAUAAGGCAUGGUCAUCAAUUGUUUACCAGCUUAUACCUAAUGUAAAACAGUUAGAGAACACAUUAGCUAACUUUACGGGUAUCAUUGAUGCUGAUGAAGUUUUACUCUUUGAGAAAGCAACAUUUUUGGUCAUAUCACACUGUGAACGAAAACAGCACAAAGACAUUCAUAGAUUUGAGAAGAUCAGUAAUAUAAUCAAACAGUUUAAACUGAGUUGUAGUAAGUUAGCUGCCUCAUUUCAAAGUAUGGAAGUUAGAAACUCACGUUUUGCUGCCUUUAUAGACGUGUUUACACCCAACACAUAUGUCAUGGUAGUCAUGUCUGAUCCUGGCAUUCCUUCUGCAGCCACUCUUAUCAACAUUAAAAAUGCACGCAAACAUUUUGAGAAGCUGGAGAGAGUUGAUGGUGGCCAUCCUUCUAUAACAACUUAGUAACUGUUGACUACUGGCUAUAGACAUACUACCUGAUGUUUGUUUAACAGCAAAGAAGCAAAGUUGACUGGCUGAUGUGUAGUAGUGAGAACUGUUGACCAGCUGCUACCUUUACAAUAUUAGCAACUGUUCAUUAACAUACAUUUAGCAGUAGAUACUGCUGCUUACUACCAAAUAAUUGUAUUUAUUGCAUGUGAAAUAUUAGUGUUAAAUAUAUAUGGUAUUUUCACAAUGAAAAAUAUAUGUUGGAAGUACACUUCAGUGUAAAGGAAUAUGAAUUGUAGAUAGGGAGAUUGGUCAAAAAUGUACUUCCUUAAAACAUUAAAAGCAAAAAUGUAUAUAGUUACAGCAUGAACAUAAAAAAUGUGUAAGACACUUCAUAUCAAAAUGUAAAAGAAAUCAAUGAAUGUAUUUAACCUUUUCUUACAUGAACAUUUUGACAUAAUAAUAUUGUACAUGAUGUAAUGUAGGCAAGAUUGGGAAAAAGAUGUUAAAAUCAUUGAAAGAGUCCUGAAACAAAAAGAAAAUUUGUUGUUUUACAUGUAAGAUCAAAUUAUCUAUCUCUUUUGAAUGCCAGAUUGUACAGUUUCAUUUGUGGCUAUGCCACUUGUGAAAGUCUUAAUAUUCAAAAUAUUUUUAUGUUUCUGUAAAAGCUACUGUUUGUUGAUAUACUGAGUAUUUUGUAUGUGGUUUAUAGUUCUGUUACAAUGUUUUGACAUAGUUUUGUAUAUCUUAUACAUUAUGUGACAUUUACAUGUUCCUAGGUUUGAAUUUCUCAGGUGUUUAAUACCUUUGCUUAGACAAAUGCUAAGUAUAUCUUUCACUGGUAUAUACUAGGUAUAUCUUUCACUGAUAUAUGCUAGGUAUAUCUUUCACUGAUAUAUGCUAGGUAUAUCUUUCACUGAUAUAUAUUAGGUAUAUCUUUGAUAGAUAUGCUAGGCAUAUCUUUGACUGAUAUAUGCUAGGUAUAUCUUUGACUGAUAUGUGCUAGGUAUAUCUUUGAUUGAUAUGUGCUAGGUAUAUCUUUGGCUGAUAUGUGCUAGGUAUAUAUCUGACGGAUAUAUGUUAGGUUACUAGGUAUAUCCUUCACUGAUAUAUGCUAGGUAUAUCUUUGACUGAUAUGUGCUAGGUAUAUCUCUGACUGAUAUGUGCUAGGUAUGUCUCUGACUGACAUAGGCUCGGUAUAUCCUUCACUGAUAUGUGCUAGGUAUAUCUUUGACUGAUAUGUGCUAGGUAUAUCUUUGGCUGAUAUGUGCUAGGUAUAUAUCUGACUGAUAUAUGUUAGGUAACUAGGUAUAUCCUUCACUGAUAUAUGCUAGGUGUAUCUUUGACUGAUAUGUGCUAGGUAUAUCUCUGACUGAUAUGUGCUAGGUAUAUCUCUGACUGACAUAGGCUAGGUAUAUCCUUCACUGAUAUAUGCUAGGUAUAUAUUUGACUGAUAUAUGCUAGGUAUAUCUUUCAUUGAUACAUGUACAUUUAAUAUGAUAACUCAUUUUUAGAAACAUUUUUAAAUGGUUUAUUAUUAUUUUAAAUGAAAUUUUCAAAGUUUCAGUGCUUGCAAUAAUCAUGCAAUAUGUCUGCUACUGAGUGAUGUCAUUUUUAUGAUCCUGCUUUUUGUACACAAUUGCAUAAUUUUGUAUGUGAAUGAUACCACAAAUCCUUUUACUCUUCUGACAAAAAGGAAUGUAUAACUUUUGUUUGUAAAAAUACUGAAUGCAGUUUCUGGACAUAGAUGAAAUAGUUCUGAUUUAAGGUGAAUGCGUUUAAAUGUCUUGACAAUAGGGUAGUUUUUUUUUUUGUUUUUUUGUUGUUGUUUUUUUUUAGUUAAAAUGAGCUACUAAAUUAAAGAUAGCAAUGUGAAGAAUUUCAAAUAAUAUGCUUCUGCAGAUAAGAAAUGUAUUCUCUUUUAUUUUGAAUCAGAUUGAUGAAUAACAUUAGUUGGUACUGUAAUUUUACCUUGACUUAUAAUAACAAAGUAAAUAUAUUUCUGCAAAAUGAUCCUAUUUAUCUUGACAGCUCACACACUGUUUUAGCUUUACUAUUCCAAGAAUAGUGAGAGCUAUUCUAUUUAUUAACCUGACGUAGCACUCUGCAUCACACCUUGGUGUGCAGGUGUGCAAGUUAAUAUCUCAGUAACCAUUAUUUAUAUUAGAUUGAAACUUCACACAAGACCUCCUAGUCAUCAUACCUACUAAAAUAACCAAGUUAGAUAACUCUUGGAUGAAUUUUACUCAAAAUGUGACCCUUUUGUGAUUUGAAAAUUUGGUGAAAAUUUUGCAUGCAACCAAUAAGCAAGAUGUAUCUCUGUAAGAACUACAUUUAUUGGACUGGAAAAGUCACCAAAUGCUACCCAGUCAUCAAACCUACUGAAAUAAUCAAGUUGGAUUGCAUUAACUCUUGGUUGAAUUAAAAAAAAUGGCCAUUUCUUGACUAGGAAAAUUUGGUUUAAGUCUACCAUGUAACUGUGAAGCUGUAUCUUGAGAACAACUACAUGUAUGAAAUUGAAACUUCACACAAUAUUUUCCAGUCAUCACACAUAUUAAAGUUAACAAGUUAAGUAACUCUUGGUUGAACUUAAUUCAAAUUAUGGCUUUAGUUUUGACUUGAAACUUUGGUUAAGGUUAUGCAUGAAACUAAGUAUAAGGCUGUUUCUCAGUAACAACUCUGUGUAUUGAAAUGAAACUCCACACAAUGAUUUCCAGUUUCCACACCUAUGGAAAGGAAGUUACUAGAUAACUUUCGUUUGGAUUAAAUGUAAGUUAUGGCCCUUUUCCAAUUUAGAAAAUUCAGUUUAAGUUGUGUGUGCAACUGUUCUGCUAUAUUUCAGUAACAACUGAACCUUCACGCAUGUCAUCAAAUGUACAUACAUACCUGAGUUAGAGAACUCUUUACAGAGACUUACUAAUUAUGACUCUUUUUUGACUUAGAAAAUUUGGUUGAAGUGUUGUCAUUGUCUUAAUAAAAUUUUAAUUGGUUAUAAAUUGUAAUAAGAUUACUUAGUUACAUAAGCCUUGCAAGGUUAUGGUCCAUGUUUCAACUUAGAAAUUGUUAAUGCUUAGCCUGACAUUUUGGGAAAAUAAUUUCAAACAACACCAAAUCAUCGAAAGAAAGGGUUGUUUCACAUAUAAUUGAACAGCAUAUAAAACAUGUAUAUUGCUCUACAAAACAAUUGACAAUUUACUGAAAUAUACAUUGACUUCCGGAAAAGGACUGCACACUUUCGGAUAGUUCUAUGCCUUUAAAAACUCACCAUUUUCAAUGAACUGUUACAUAUCUUUGUUGAUGCAUUUGCAGUAAUGUCACAGCACUGAAAUUUCACAUAACUGGGUGGAAUGUAGUUUUCAGCGAUUUUUCAUUUUUAUUUCUUUACAAAUGGCAUUCAUUUUUAAAGGGGGACAACUUUUCAGUAUAUUUUAAUUAUCCAUUUUACGGAACAGUACGGCAGAACAUAUAACAGUCAGGUCGAUUGUUGGUAAAGAUGCUGUUUGUUUAUCAAAUAUUUCCAUGUUUUGAAUAUGUACUGCUUAACCUUAGAUAGUGGAGCUUACUGUCUUGUUGACAACUCUUGUAUAAUUGACACUGGGUAUACGAAAUGACAGUUUUGCUUAGAUGUUUUCAUUGAUAACAAACUGUAUUCCACAUAAUAUAUCUAAGAAAGUUAUAUUCACAAUUUGUUAUGUUUGUAUAUAAAUCAGCGAGGAAUUCGAACACAUGUAUAGAAUUAUAUGAAUGUGAAUGGUAAAGUGAGUGAGAUGUUUGUAUUUUAUCUGUGUAUUAAUGUAUGUAAAAAUGUUUCCACGAGAAAACUUCUAUGUACAGUCAGUCUGCAAAGUUCAGUUAUAAGUACACACUGGGCUAUACACAUACUCUGCUUCAGGAUAGGACCAUUAAGAUUGUCAGUCACCUCAGUUAUAUGUGGGAAAGUUGACAAAAAGUAGACACAGUCACCUGAUCUUGUAAGACUUUCUCAAUUGCUUCUUCAUGUCAGUUAUUUCCACUGGACUGGAUAACUUUAGAAUAUGAAGUCUGAUCAGUAUAAAAUAGAAUUUCUGUGACAUUCUUUUGUAGGUAAUAACAUUCAAUAAAACUUUUUGCAGUGAUAAAAUGAAGUGCUAGUCUUAUAAGUAUCAGUGAAAUAUGCAAACCAGUGAAAUAUCUAAGUUUAAGACAAUUAACUGUUUUAUCCACUUUUUUCAUAACAAAAUGUUCCCUUAAUUUCUCUUCAAAUGUGGAGUAUACCAUCCAUAUUAUACAUAUUUCUAAAGAACUUUAAACUUUCAAUCUUAAUUAGAAUUGAUCACCAAAAGCAAUUUCCAUUGUAUAUUUAGGACACUAAAAAGAAAGAAUAAUUUAGAUUUUUGAUUAAGUUGUUGAUGAAUUGUUAAAUAGCCAUAAGUUUACCUUCAUUAGCAUAAUGAAUAUUUCAAAAAAAUUAAACAAUUAGAUAGUUGUUUAGCAGAGCUAAGUUAGGGUGCAUAUAGUAAUAUUUUUGUGUCAAGUAGAAAAAUUAAUUGAUGGUACCCACAAUGUAUUUUACUGUUUAUACAUAUUUCAUUUCGACAAAAAAAUGUGUGACAGUGUUAGCUCAUGGACAGGUUUAUUUUUGGCGUUCCAUAUUCCCACGCCCAGAAAUUAUUGAUGCUUGAAAUGGAUCAUAUGUUGAAGUUGAUCAAGAUAUAUGCUUUAUUUCUGUAUUAUGUAGCAUUUCAUCUUGGAAGUCUUUGUUGAUUUUAUUUAUAUAUCUGGGUGAUUUUGAUGCUUUCUUUUCCAUGAAGCAAGCACUAAAGUAACUCUUCCAUUGUGUGUGCGGACAGGUGGGUGGUGUCUACUACAGUUGUCUGCUCUUUUACUGAGAUGCUCUCCUCAUUUAGUCACAGUCUUUAUGGUCAGUUUCCAUAACUGGUUCUGUAAAAAAGAACAGUGAAUACAAUAUUAAUAAUAACGAUAAUAAUA